rnacentral:misc_RNA from 1 species
GAUGAAGAACGUAGCGAAAUGCGAUAAGUAAUGUGAAUUGCAGAAUUCAGUGAAUCAUCGAAUCUUUGAACGCACAUUGCGCCCGCCAGUAUUCUGGCGGGCAUGCCUGUUCGAGCGUCAUUUCAACCAUCAAGCCCUGCUUGCGUUGGGGUCCUGCGGCUGCCCGCAGGCCCUGAAAACCAGUGGCGGGCUCGCUAGUCACACCGAGCGCAGUAUUACAUCUCGCUUUGGGCGUGCGGCGGGUUCUUGCCGUUAAACACCCCCUUUUUACCAAGGUUGACCUCGGAUCAGGUAGGAAUACCCGCUGAACUUAAGCAUAUCAAUAAGCGGAGGA